rnacentral:lncRNA from 1 species
GGUCUGAUGGCACGUUCAAUCGCUAUUUGGCUGAGUUCUUGGAGCGAAAGGUCCCUGCUAACUCAUUUCCAGUUGAUGGGGUUUACUCUUUUGAUGUAGUUGAUCGGGCGACAAGCUUGCUUAACCGCGUCUAUAGACCUGCUCCAGACAAUGAGGAUGAAUGGGGUAAAGUAGAACUUGAGAAACCUUUGAGCACCACUGAAAUUGCUCCUGUUGUUGAUCGGGCAACAAGCUUGCUUAACCGCGUCUAUAGACCUGCUCCAGACAAUGAGGAUGAAUGGGGUAAAGUAGAACUUGAGAAACCAUUGAGCACCAUAGAAAUUGUUCCUGUUAUUGUAUUCUUUCAUGGUGGAAGUUUUACUCAUUCCUCAGCUAAUAGUGCUAUUUAUGAUACAUUCUGUCGUCGCCUUGUUAACAUUUGCAAGGCUGUUGUUGUAUCUGU